ACGCUCGACACCUACGGGAGACAGCAGUCGGGAAUAUUGCGCAAUGGAGGAAACUCUGACGCAGUGACGCCGCGUGCAGGAAGAAGGUUUUCGGAUUGUAAACUGCUUUAGACAGGGAAGAAAGAAAUGACAGUACCUGUAGAAUAAGCUCCGGCUAACUACGUGCCAGCAGCAGCGGUAAUCUGAGCGGGCUGGCAAGGC
rnacentral:rRNA from 1 species